GGGUUGUGAGGUUAAGCGACUAAGCGUACACGGUGGAUGCCCUGGCAGUCAGAGGCGAUGAAGGGCGUGCUAAUCUGCGAUAAGCGCCGGUAAGGUGAUAUGAACCGUUAUAACCGGCGAUACCCGAAUGGGGAAACCCAGUGUGACUCGUCACACUAUCAUUAACUGAAUCCAUAGGUUAAUGAGGCGAACCGGGGGAACUGAAACAUCUAAGUACCCCGAGGAAAAGAAAUCAACCGAGAUUCCCCCAGUAGCGGCGAGCGAACGGGGAGGAGCCCAGAGCCUGAAUCAGCAUGUGUGUUAGUGGAAGCGUCUGGAAAGGCGCGCGAUACAGGGUGACAGCCCCGUACACAAAAGCGCAUGUGCUGUGAGCUCGAUGAGUAGGGCGGGACACGUGGUAUCCUGUCUGAAUAUGGGGGGACCAUCCUCCAAGGCUAAAUACUCCUGACUGACCGAUAGUGAACCAGUACCGUGAGGGAAAGGCGAAAAGAACCCCGGCGAGGGGAGUGAAAAAGAACCUGAAACCGUGUACGUACAAGCAGUGGGAGCACNNNNNNNNNNNUGUGACUGCGUACCUUUUGUAUAAUGGGUCAGCGACUUAUAUUCUGUAGCAAGGUUAACCGAAUAGGGGAGCCGGAGGGAAACCGAGUCUUAAUUGGGCGUUAAGUUGCAGGGUAUAGACCCGAAACCCGGUGAUCUAGCCAUGGGCAGGUUGAAGGUUGGGUAACACUAACUGGAGGACCGAACCGACUAAUGUUGAAAAAUUAGCGGAUGACCUGUGGCUGGGGGUGAAAGGCCAAUCAAACCGGGAGAUAGCUGGUUCUCCCCGAAAGCUAUUUAGGUAGCGCCUCGUGAAUUCAUCUCCGGGGGUAGAGCACUGUUUCGGCUAGGGGGCCAUCCCGGCUUACCAACCCGAUGCAAACUGCGAAUACCGGAGAAUGUUAUCACGGGAGACACACGGCGGGUGCUAACGUCCGUCGUGAAGAGGGAAACAACCCAGACCGCCAGCUAAGGUCCCAAAGUCAUGGUUAAGUGGGAAACGAUGUGGGAAGGCCCAGACAGCCAGGAUGUUGGCUUAGAAGCAGCCAUCAUUUAAAGAAAGCGUAAUAGCUCACUGGUCGAGUCGGCCUGCGCGGAAGAUGUAACGGGGCUAAACCAUGCACCGAAGCUGCGGCAGCGACACUGUGUGUUGUUGGGUAGGGGAGCGUUCUGUAAGCCUGCGAAGGUGGCCUGUGAGGGUUGCUGGAGGUAUCAGAAGUGCGAAUGCUGACAUAAGUAACGAUAAAGCGGGUGAAAAGCCCGCUCGCCGGAAGACCAAGGGUUCCUGUCCAACGUUAAUCGGGGCAGGGUGAGUCGACCCCUAAGGCGAGGCCGAAAGGCGUAGUCGAUGGGAAACGGGUUAAUAUUCCCGUACUUGGUGUUACUGCGAAGGGGGGACGGAGAAGGCUAUGUUGGCCGGGCGACGGUUGUCCCGGUUUAAGCGUGUAGGUGUGUGUUCCAGGUAAAUCCGGUUCACUUUAACACUGAGGCGUGACGACGAGGCACUACGGUGCUGAAGCAACAAAUGCCCUGCUUCCAGGAAAAGCCUCUAAGCAUCAGGUAACAUCAAAUCGUACCCCAAACCGACACAGGUGGUCAGGUAGAGAAUACCAAGGCGCUUGAGAGAACUCGGGUGAAGGAACUAGGCAAAAUGGUGCCGUAACUUCGGGAGAAGGCACGCUGACACGUAGGUGAAGUGAUUUACUCAUGGAGCUGAAGUCAGUCGAAGAUACCAGCUGGCUGCAACUGUUUAUUAAAAACACAGCACUGUGCAAACACGAAAGUGGACGUAUACGGUGUGACGCCUGCCCGGUGCCGGAAGGUUAAUUGAUGGGGUCAGCGCAAGCGAAGCUCCUGAUCGAAGCCCCGGUAAACGGCGGCCGUAACUAUAACGGUCCUAAGGUAGCGAAAUUCCUUGUCGGGUAAGUUCCGACCUGCACGAAUGGCGUAAUGAUGGCCAGGCUGUCUCCACCCGAGACUCAGUGAAAUUGAACUCGCUGUGAAGAUGCAGUGUACCCGCGGCAAGACGGAAAGACCCCGUGAACCUUUACUAUAGCUUGACACUGAACAUUGAGCCUUGAUGUGUAGGAUAGGUGGGAGGCUUUGAAGUGUGGACGCCAGUCUGCAUGGAGCCGACCUUGAAAUACCACCCUUUAAUGUUUGAUGUUCUAACGUGGACCCGUUACCCGGGUUGCGGACAGUGUCUGGUGGGUAGUUUGACUGGGGCGGUCUCCUCCUAAAGAGUAACGGAGGAGCACGAAGGUUGGCUAAUCCUGGUCGGACAUCAGGAGGUUAGUGCAAUGGCAUAAGCCAGCUUGACUGCGAGCGUGACGGCGCGAGCAGGUGCGAAAGCAGGUCAUAGUGAUCCGGUGGUUCUGAAUGGAAGGGCCAUCGCUCAACGGAUAAAAGGUACUCCGGGGAUAACAGGCUGAUACCGCCCAAGAGUUCAUAUCGACGGCGGUGUUUGGCACCUCGAUGUCGGCUCAUCACAUCCUGGGGCUGAAGUAGGUCCCAAGGGUAUGGCUGUUCGCCAUUUAAAGUGGUACGCGAGCUGGGUUUAGAACGUCGUGAGACAGUUCGGUCCCUAUCUGCCGUGGGCGCUGGAGAACUGAGGGGGGCUGCUCCUAGUACGAGAGGACCGGAGUGGACGCAUCACUGGUGUUCGGGUUGUCAUGCCAAUGGCACUGCCCGGUAGCUAAAUGCGGAAGAGAUAAGUGCUGAAAGCAUCUAAGCACGAAACUUGCCCCGAGAUGAGUUCUCCCUGAGACUUAAAGUCUCCUGAAGGAACGUUGAAGACGACGACGUUGAUAGGCCGGGUGUGUAAGCGCAGCGAUGCGUUGAGCUAACCGGUACUAAUGAACCGUGAGGCUUAACCUUACAACGCCGAAG
rnacentral:rRNA from 5 species